AAGUCGAACGAGAAAGUGGAGCAAUCCAUGAGUACAGUGGCGACCGGGUGAGUAACACGUGACCAACCUGCCCUCGAGUGGGGGAUAACUCCGGGAAACCGGGGCUAAUACCGCAUAACAUCUUCGGAUCGGAAGAACUGGAGAUCAAAGGAGCAAUUCGCUUGAGGAGGGGGUCGCGGCUGAUUAGCUAGUUGGCGGGGUAAUGGCCCACCAAGGCGAAGAUCGGUAGCCGGCCUGAGAGGGCGCACGGCCACACUGGAACUGAAACACGGUCCAGACUCCUACGGGAGGCAGCAGUGGGGAAUUUUGCGCAAUGGGGGAAACCCUGACGCAGCAACGCCGCGUGGAGGAUGAAGUCCCUUGGGACGUAAACUCCUUUCGACCAAGACGAUAAUGACGGUAUCUGGUGGAAGAAGCACCGGCUAACUCUGUGCCAGCAU
rnacentral:rRNA from 1 species